UACGUAGGGUGCGAGCGUUUGUCCGGAAUUACUGGGCGUAAAGAGCUCGUAGGUGGUUUGUCGCGUUGUCCGUGAAAACUCACAACUCAAUUGUGGGCGUGCGGGCGAUACGGGCAGACUGGAGUACUGCAGGGGAGACUGGAAUUCCUGGUGUAGCGGUGGAAUGCGCAGAUAUCAGGAGGAACACCGGUGGCGAAGGCGGGUCUCUGGGCAGUAACUGACGCUGAGGAGCGAAAAGCGUGGGGAG
rnacentral:rRNA from 1 species